ensembl:snoRNA SNORD79 Small nucleolar RNA SNORD79
UUUUGUUAGUGAUGAUGUUUAAACAGAUGGGUAUAUCUCUGAAAGAGAAUGAAGCCUAAUUUGAAACUGAAACAGUA